AUCAUGUCUUCCAUGCUCAGAAUCCACAUUUUACAGUCUUGAAUUUUAAAAAACCCAGUUUGUUUUUGGUGCGUUUUUAACUGCAAGGUCCUGAGUGACUAACCCAGCCAUCCUCUCGGGGCGCAAUAAUGUACCCGUGGCCACAUUGAAGGCCCCGCCCAUUCCUGGCCCCUCCCCCCCGCCCGCGGGACGGCGAGUGCAGGCGGGCGGGACUCCUCUGACCUCGCCCCCGUGCCCCCAGCGUCCCCUCAUAGGCUUUUCCAACACCCGUUUUGAUUGGCUCCUGGGAGAUUGUGCCCUGUCCCCCGAAAAGUAAUUUUAGUGAAACUGCUUUGUGUGUGGUGGACUCCAUUAAGGCCAGACCUGGGCCCAAUACGUAUUUGCUUUGGAUUCAAAUACUUUCCUACACUUUACUGAUCUUGUCUGGUGUAUUGGAACCAAUGAAAUACACUCAAAAAGUGCAAACCCCGCCUUCUGGUCAUAUUGGCUGGCUCAGCUGCACCAGGCAAGAUCAAUAGAGCACUGAAAAGUAUUUGAAUCCAAAACAAAUUCGUUUUUGACCCAGUUCUGAUUAAGGCUAUCUUUUCAUUCAAAUGAGUAGGUGUGAGCGUGCGUGAGUGCUUAGGGGGACAGAGCAAGAUCUUUAAAGCCUACUACAGCCUGUCCGUCAUCUUCAGUGGCCUAUGACAUGCAAUGGCCCCAUACAUCCCUGCAUCAUGCGGCAGCUUACUGCGUACUUAAAACGUUUUAACUAGGGAUGUGAACCACGCUAGUUGCUGUCUAUAACGGACUAAUCAGGUUUUUUGUUUACCAUUUUAUGUUGGAUACUGCUUAUAGAAACAUGCCAGAACCUGAACCAGCACAGGUCACAAGAUUAAAACAUCUAAAAAGUAAAACCUAAGCAUCGCUAUAUAUUUUUUCUAGAACGAUUAUAUGCUGCUUCGCUCACUGCAGUGGUUAAGAGCAGCAAGUUACUUAAAACAAACACAACUAUUUUCAAUUAUUUUAUUUAACAGGUGUGCUUGUGACCUGAAAAUCGAGGCGUCGCCGGUUUGUUCUCAUCCCUAGUUUUGACGCGUUUGUCUGCGCGGUGCCGCCAUUUUGUUUCGCGGCUGCAGUCGAGGCUCGGCCGGCCCAGCAGUGAUCGCACUGUCCCUCGACCUCGCGCCUUUGCUUCUUUCCACGGGUCACGCACGCCCCCCCCUUUAACGGUAGGGUUGCCACGGGUUACGCACGCCCUCCCGCUAACUGGGAGGGUUGCCACGGGUGCGCUGGCCACGCCUCUCUCCCUAAACGUUUUUUCGAGGCUCGAUCACUGACGUCUUCGACUGCUUCAUGAAGCGCUGGGGGUUUUGCAUGCAGCCACCUUCUGGGGUGUGUACACUUCCAGCCCCCUCCCCCCCCCCCCGAAAA